rfam:Gasterosteus aculeatus cont1.003772, whole genome shotgun sequence.
AAAAAAACGUGAUGUGUGUCGCUUUGGAUAAAAGCGUCUGCUAAAUGACCUGUA